rnacentral:tRNA from 1 species
GGUAGGGUGGCUGAAUUUAAGCGGUGGAUUGUAGUCCCAUAAAUAGAGGUUUGAGUCCUCUCCCUGUCA